UCUCCGUUGGCGAACCAGCGGAGGGAUCAUUACAGAGUUGCAAAACUCCCAAACCAUUGUGAACGUUACCUAUCCCGUUGCUUCGGCGGGCGGCCCGGGCCCCGCGCCUGGCGCCCCCCGGCCCCCCGUGGGCGCCCGCCGGAGGUAAACCAAACCCUUGAAUUGCAUGGCCUCUCUGAGUCUUCUGUACUGAAUAAGUCAAAACUUUCAACAACGGAUCUCUUGGUUCUG
rnacentral:misc_RNA from 1 species